rnacentral:rRNA from 1 species
CCUAGUUGAUCCUGCCAGUAGUCAUAUGCUUGUCUCAAAGAUUAAGCCAUGCAUGUCUAAGUAUGAACUAAUUCAGACUGUGAAACUGUGGAUGGCUCAUUAAAUUAGUUAUAGUGUUUUUUAUGGUACCAUACUACUCAGAUAACCAUAGUAAUUCUAGAGCUAAUACGUGCACCAAGUCUUGACUCUUUGGAAGGGAUGCAUUUUUUAGAUAAAAGGUCGGCGAGGGCUUGCCCAUUUCUCCGAUGAAUCAUGAUAACUCGACGGAUUGCAGAGCCGUUUUGUUGGCAAUGCUUCAUUCAAAUUUCUACCCUUUCAACUUUUGAUGGUAGGAUAAAGGCCUACCAUGGUGGUGACAGGUGACGGAGAAUAAGGGUUCGAUUAUGGAGAGGGAGACUGAGAAAUGGCUACCACAUAAAAGGAAGGCAGCAGACGGGCAAAUUACCCAAUCCUGACAUGGGGAGGUAGUGACAAUAAAUAACAAUACUGGGCUCAUCGAGUCUGGUAAUGGAAUGAGUACAAUCUAAAUCCCUUAAUGAGGAUCCAUUGGAGGGAAAGUCUGGUGCCAACAACUGCGGUAAUUCCAGCUCCAAUAGCAUUUUUUUAAGUUGUUGCAGUUAAAAAGAUCGUAGUUGGAUCUUGGGUCAUAAAGGUCGGUCCGACUACUUAGUUUGCACCUACCCUUCCAUCCCUUUUUGUCGGCGGCGUGCUCCUAGCCUUAAUUUGCUAGGUCGUCGGUCUGGAACUUUUACUUUGAAAAAAUUAGAGUGCUCAAAGCAAGCUUAUUCUCUGAAUCCAUUAGCAUGGAAUAAUGUGAUAGGAGUCUGGUGCUAUUGUGUUCGCCUUUAGGAAUGGAGUAAUGAUUAAUAGGGCUGUCAGGGGCAUUCGUAUUUCAUUGUCAGAGGUGAAAUUCUUGGAUUUAUGAAAGACGAACCACUACGAAAGCAUUUUCCAAGGAUGUUUUCGUUAAUCAAGAACGAAAGUUGGGUGCUCGAAGACGAUCAGAUACCAUCCUAGUCUCAACUAUAAACGAUGCCGACCACAAAUCGACAGAUGUUGCUCUAAGGACUCUGCCAACACCUUCUAAGAAAUCAGAGUGUUUGAGUUCUGGGGGGAGUAAGGUCACAAGGCUGAAACAUAAAGGAAUUGACAGAAGGGCACCACCAGGAGUGGAGCCUGCGAAUUAAUUUGACUCAACACGGGGAAACUUACUAGGUCUAGACAUAGUAAGGAUUGACAUAUUGAGAACUCUUUCUUAAUUCUAUGGGUGGUGGUGCAUGGCCGUUCUUAUUUGGUGGAGCGAUUUGUCUGGUUAAUUCUAAUAAUGAACGAGACCUCAGCCUACUAACUAGCUACGCGGAGGUUCCCCUUCACGGCUAGCUUCUUAGAGGGACUAUGGCCAUUUAGGCCAUGGAACUUUGAGGCCAUAAUAGGUCUGUGAUGCCCGUAGAUGUUCUGGGCCACACGCGCGCUACACUUAUGCAGCCAACGAGUUAUUCUUCUUGGUUCGAGAGGAUUACGAAAUCUUCUCAAAUUGCAUCGUAACGGGGAUAGACCAUUGCAAUUAUUGGUCUUCAACGAGGAAUUCCUAGUAAGCGCGUGUCAUCAACUCAUGUUGACUACGUCUCUACCCUUUGUACACACCGCCCAUCGCUCCUACCAAUUGAAUGAUCUAGCGAAGUGUUCAGAUUGUGUCGAUGAUGGUGGUUCACCGCCGUUGACAUCGUAAGAACUUCAUUGAACCUUAUCAUUUAGAUGAAGGAGAAUUCAUAACAAGGUUACUGUAGGUGAACCUGCGGUAG